CAGCCGCCACGGGAAUACGAAGGGUGCAAGCGUUACUCGGAAUUACUGGGCGUAAAGCGUGCGUAGGUGGUGGUUUAAGUCCGUUGUGAAAGCCCUGGGCUCAACCUGGGAAUUGCAGUGGAUACUGGGUCACUAGAGUGUGGUAGAGGAUAGCGGAAUUUCCGGUGUAGCAGUGAAAUGCGUAGAGAUCGGAAGGAACAUCUGUGGCGAAGGCGACUAUCUGGGCCAACACUGACACUGAGGCACGAAAGCGUGGGGAGCAAACAGGAUUAGAUACCCCAGUAGUCCCUGUCUCUUAUAA
rnacentral:rRNA from 1 species